rnacentral:rRNA from 1 species
UACGUAGGGUGCGAGCGUUGUCCGGAAUUACUGGGCGUAAAGAGCUCGUAGGUGGUUUGUCGCGUUGUUCGUGAAAACUCACAGCUCAACUGUGGGCGUGCGGGCGAUACGGGCAGACUGGAGUACUGCAGGGGAGACUGGAAUUCCUGGUGUAGCGGUGAAAUGCGCAGAUAUCAGGAAGAACACCCGUGGCUAAGGCGGCUCUCUAGUACGGUACUGACGCUGAGACGCGAAAGCGUGGGGAGCGAACAGG